ACGCUGAAGGCCCAGCUUGCUGGGUUGGAUGAGUGGCGAACGGGUGAGUAACACGUGAGUAACCUGCCCCCUUCUUUGGGAUAACGGUCGGAAACGGCUGCUAAUACCGGGUAUUCACUGUCCUUCGCAUGGGGGGUGGUGGAAAGGUUUUUUCUGGUGGGGGAUGGGCUCGCGGCCUAUCAGCUUGUUGGUGGGGUGAUGGCUUACCAAGGCUUUGACGGGUAACCGGCCUGAGAGGGUGACCGGUCACAUUGGGACUGAGAUACGGCCCAGACUCCUACGGGAGGCAGCAGUGGGGAAUAUUGCACAAUGGGCGGAAGCCUGAUGCAGCGACGCCGCGUGAGGGAUGACGGCCUUCGGGUUGUAAACCUCUUUCGCUCAUGGUCAAGCCGCAACAGUGGUUGUGGUGAGGGUAGUGGGUAAAGAAGCACCGGCUAACUACGUGCCAGCAGCCGCGGUAAUACGUAGGGUGCGAGCGUUGUCCGGAAUUAUUGGGCGUAAAGGGCUUGUAGGCGGUUUGUCGCGUCUGCCGUGAAAUCCUCUGGCUUAACUGGGGGCGUGCGGUGGGUACGGGCAGGCUUGAGUGCGGUAGGGGAGACUGGAACUCCUGGUGCAGCGGUAGAAUGCGCAGAUAUCAGGAAG
rnacentral:rRNA from 1 species